GACCUCCUGGGCUCUAACCGACUACGCCUAGGUGAUUCCACCUAGGUGACCCCAGCUUUAAUGCCCCUACAAAGAAGCAUCAGCACCUCCAUUUGCAGCUUCACCUCUACUCCCCGCCUAAAGCCCUCCCUGAGAAGAAAAUUUCACAAGAUCCUCUGUUACCUUGCUUUAAGGUUCAACAUGCUUCGUUGUCAGAAAAUGUUUCUCCUGGUUAACCCACCUAAAUCCUUUCCUCUGAAGUCUAAAGCCAUUUACUCUCAGGUUGUCUCUAAUAUCUUGAAAACCUACAGAGAAUCUCGUCAAGCUAGUUCCCACAAUUCAAUAAUAAAUUUCAACCAAUCAAAAAGUAAAUGUGAUGUGACUUAGCUUGCCAAGUCUUUUUCUCCUGUUUCCUUACAAAUUUCUCCAAACAAAGCACCCCAGCCAGCUUAACCCACACUGGCCAGCCUUUAAAUGUGCUAAAUGGUUGCCCAUAGGAAGCAUAGCUUUGGACCUCGGUGGCAGGAAACUCCACUGAGGAUCUGAGAAGUAUUAAAUUUAAUAAAUAAGAACAUAAUCCCAGGACUGGAGAGAUGGCUCAGCGGUUAAGAGCACUGACUGCUCUCCCAAAGGUCCUAAGUUCAAAUCCCAGCAACCACACGGUGACUUACAACUAUCUGCAGUAGGAUCCGAUGCCCUCUUCUGCUGUGUCUGAAGACAGCUACAAUGUACUUAUAUAUAAUAAAUAAAUAAAUCUUUAAAAAAAGAAAACACAAUCCCAGGAUAGCUAAAACUAUCCUCAACAAUAAAAGGACUUCCAGGGGAAUCACUAUUCCUGAACUCAAGCAGUAUUACAGAGCAAUAGUGAUAAAAAAAAAAAAAAAAAAACUGUAUGG
rnacentral:lncRNA from 1 species